rnacentral:tRNA from 1 species
GGAGAGGUGGCCGAGUGGCUGAAGGCAGCGGUCUUGAAAACCGCAACGGGUGCAUGCCCGUCGUGGGUUCGAAUCCCACCCUCUCCG